rnacentral:misc_RNA from 1 species
UAUUUAUUAUUUUAUAAUAAAUUAACGCCUCACUUUGCUAGGGCGAGCACCUAGCACCUCAGGUGAUGGAGGACCUUCUCGCCUUAAGGGCGCUUAGCGCUUUUGACAACACUGAUAUAUUAUUAUCCUAGAUAGGCUUGCAUACUCAUUUUAGAAUUAUGGAUCGGAUGGCAAUACAAACAUGUUUAUAAUAUUCAUGCAGGCUGCACAG